CCUAAUACAUGCAAGUCGAACGAGACCUUCGGGUCUAGUGGCGCACGGGUGCGUAACGCGUGGGAAUCUGCCCUUGGGUUCGGAAUAACAGUUAGAAAUGACUGCUAAUACCGGAUGAUGGCGUAAGUCCAAAGAUUUAUCGCCCAAAGAUGAGCCCGCGUAGGAUUAGCUUGUUGGUGAGGUAAAAGCUCACCAAGGCGACGAUCCUUAGCUGGUCUGAGAGGAUGAUCAGCCACACUGGGACUGAGACACGGCCCAGACUCC
rnacentral:rRNA from 1 species